ACAACCAAAUAAUGAUAUGCAUUUUCAUACAGCUAACAAUCCUUAGAGAUGAUGCAUGCCUCUAAGCACUCCUUAGGUGCUGAAUGAUGCAAUGCACAGUACAACAAUCAUCCUAUUUAAAAGUGCUCCCCACACGGAAGCUUUUAUUUUUGAACUCUAAUUCAUUCAUCAUGAAAAACCAUUCGAAAAUCUUUUUAAAACUGUUUCCCACACGGAAACUCUAUUUUGAAAAUCAACUACCUCGAGGGGUAGAAAACCACGAUAUGUAAAUACAAGAAAAUCCGAUAUCCAUAGAAUCAACAUCCAAAUCCACAAACCUCAGUUN
rnacentral:lncRNA from 1 species